rnacentral:tRNA from 1 species
GCGCUCAUAGCUCAGCUGGAUAGAGUGUCUGACUACGAAUCAGAAGGUCGGGAGUUCGAAUCUCUCUGAGCGCA